GGGCAGGGCGGGAGAGCGGGAAGCUGGGCCUCUUGCUUUUCUUUCACAUUCCCAGCAUGGUAGAUGGGUGUGGACAUCAAUCCGAAGCCCACCUCCUUUCGAGGGAUCAAUAGGAUGUCUCAUCACCGCGCAAAUGCGGCUGCCCCUGUUUAACCCCAUCACAGCCUGGUGCUUCAGGAUCCCUCAAAGUCCAGGGUCAAGGCCCAUUCUCUCCCUGGAUCCUGCCUUCCCUGCUCCACCGGCUCCCUUCUCCAGCCCAACUCCGUUCCUUUCAAAGGGUCUUGUUCCCUGGAGCCUGCCAGCACCGAUCCUGUGUUCCCUAGGAGUCCGGAAGAGGCGAGGCACUGGGGAUGCUUCCUGACCUGGCCUUCGUCUCGCUCCACUGUUUGCAGAGCGGUUGUUCUGCUGAGUGGGGAUGGCAGUGCCAGGACUUCUAGCGAGACGGGAGAGGCACAAGGGGAAACUUGGCGGGAAGAGACCAAGGGUGCGGCGGCUCCACGGGGAGUGGAACUUGCAAGAAGAACACAGUGGUUUAAAGGGUAUUUUUAGGAUGUGCAAUAUGGCAGGCCUGCUCUCACUCAAGAAAACUCUGAGUUAAAUUCACAUGACUCAUCACUGCUUCCAUGCCCUGGGCUGGAGGCCAGCUUCGGGGAGAGAACAGGGAUGGCCUGAGGGAAAGGGCCCUGGCACUGGGUGUAGGGGAGUGGAUGAGGAAUAAGACUGGGGAAUCAGACUCUUACACGCUGAUGGGGACUCCCCAGAACCCACUCGUUUAGCUAGACCAAAUAUUAAACAUGUGGGUGAUAUGAGGCAGCAGGUCUCAGAUCUGCUGUCAUAAAGUGGGUCCAAGCAGGAGGAGACCCCUCCCAGGAGAACCAAAUAGAUAAAUAGCCAGGUUGUUAGAAGUGGGGGAAUCUUCCUGUGCUUCAAAGAGGUAAUAAUAAUUAGAUUUGAGCUUGAAAGAUGGGCAGAAGUGACAAAGGGAGACACAAGGCAGAGAGAGGAGCAGAAGCAGGAAUACAGGACACAGCAGACCCUCGAGCUUGGCGGGACACAGGAUCCUGCUCUGCAACAUCCACUUCCUGCUCCCGAUCUCCCUGAAGGGGCUGCUGCUCGUGGGCCUGCUCUGCACUGUGCUGCAAGUGAGCAGUGCUAAGGGGGCCUCCAGGGGGAAAUAAAGUCACAGCCUGAGCCGGGGAACCGCAGCUCCCACACCAUCAACACCCUCGGAGGGGGCAAGCAGAACCUCUGGCCUCCUAUCAGGAGCAGAUAAAAGAAAGGACAUCCCCCUUGCACACUGAUUCCUUGGAGGCAUCUGCAUCUCACCUUCAUGGAUCCUCCCUCAGGCCUCCUUUCCUUGUGGCUCCAGGAUGACCCUGUCAGAGAUACUGGACUAUCGUUCAGUUGCAGAGGCCCCAGGGCCUGUCUGGACUUUUCCAUCCCAAGAGGGGCUCGGCUCUAUCCCCUUUGUGCCUGUGACCCUCUCCAUCCCCCACCCGGCUCAGAACUGGCACAGCCACCACCAACCACUCCUGAUUCAACCCAAGCUUCGCCCUUUCCACCUCUCGAGCUGUGCAACAACAAAUGCAGGAUGCUCAGCCCUCAUGUGUCAGUCCCCUCAAUUCACUUGUAAUUAAAUAACAACACACCUCUUUUUCUAAUUUUCAAAGGUGUAUAUAUUUCCCCUCAAUAAAGUUGUUAGGAUUA
ensembl:lncRNA novel transcript